GGAGGCUUACCCAAGUCCGGUUGAAGGGAACAGUCUUGAAAACUGUCAGUGCGCAAGUGCUCGAGGGUUCGAAUCCCUCAGCCUCCUCCA
rnacentral:tRNA from 4 species